UACGUAGGGUGCGAGCGUUGUCCGGAAUUAUUGGGCGUAAAGAGCUCGUAGGCGGCUUGUCGCGUCGGAUGUGAAAGCCCGGGGCUUAACUCCGGGUCUGCAUUCGAUACGGGCGGACUGGAGUUCGGCAGGGGAGACUGGAAUUCCUGGUGUAGCGGUGAAAUGCGCAGAUAUCAGGAGGAACACCGGUGGCGAAGGCGGGUCUCUGGGCCGAUACUGACGCUGAGGAGCGAAAGCGUGGGGGAGCGAACAGG
rnacentral:rRNA from 1 species